AUUUAUAUAGUAUAAAAAUUAUAUUUAACUUCCAAUUAAAAGAUCUAAGUAAUUAGUAUAAAUU
rnacentral:tRNA from 1 species